UACGUAGGUGGCAAGCGUUGUCCGGAAUUAUUGGGCGUAAAGCGCGCGCAGGCGGUCCUUUAAGUCUGAUGUGAAAGCCCACGGCUCAACCGUGGAGGGUCAUUGGAAACUGGGGGACUUGAGUACAGAAGAGGAAAGUGGAAUUCCACGUGUAGCGGUGAAAUGCGUAGAGAUGUGGAGGAACACCAGUGGCGAAGGCGACUUUCUGGUCUGUAACUGACGCUGAGGCGCGAAAGCGUGGGGAGCAAACAGGAUUAGAUACCCCAGUAGUCC
rnacentral:rRNA from 1 species